rnacentral:tRNA from 1 species
ACUCAUAUAAUUUAAGUUUAAAAUUUUACAUUGAAGCUGUAAAUAUGGCAAGUUGCCCGUGAG